AUGUUCUUUUUGCUGUGGCUGUUGAAGAACAUCUCAGCCCCAGAUUUCCUCCCCACUGAGCUGUGCCUGUUCCAGGAGCAUCCCAGGGAACAGCUGGAUCCUGUGAGCUGUGCCUGUUCCCAGGAGCAUCCCAGGGAACAGCUGGAUCCUGUGAGCUGUGCCUGUUCCCAGGAGCAUCCCAGGGAACAGCUGGAUCCUGUGAGCUGUGCCUGUUCCCAGGAGCAUCCCAGGGAACAGCUGGAUCCUGUGAGCUGUGCCUGUUCCCAGGAGCAUCCCAGGGAACAGCUGGAUCCUGUGAGCUGUGCCUGUUCCCAGGAGCAUCCCAGGGAACAGCUGGAUCCUGUGAGCUGUGCCUGUUCCCAGGAGCAUCCCAGGGAACAGCUGGAUCCUGUGAGCUGUGCCUGUUCCCAGGAGCAUCCCAGGGAACAGCUGGAUCCUGUGAGCUGUGCCUGUUCCCAGGAGCAUCCCAGGGAACAGCUGGAUCCUGUGAGCUGUGCCUGUUCCCAGGAGCAUCCCAGGGAACAGCUGGAUCCUGUGAGCUGUGCCUGUUCCCAGGAGCAUCCCAGGGAACAGCUGGAUCCUGUGAGCUGUGCCUGUUCCCAGGAGCAUCCCAGGGAACAGCUGGAUCCUGUGAGCUGUGCCUGUUCCCAGGAGCAUCCCAGGGAACAGCUGGAUCCUGUGAGCUGUGCCUGUUCCCAGGAGCAUCCCAGGGAACAGCUGGAUCCUGUGAGCUGUGCCUGUUCCCAGGAGCAUCCCAGGGAACAGCUGGAUCCUGUGAGCUGUGCCUGUUCCCAGGAGCAUCCCAGGGAACAGCUGGAUCCUGUGAGCUGUGCCUGUUCCCAGGAGCAUCCCAGGGAACAGCUGGAUCCUGUGAGCUGUGCCUGUUCCCAGGAGCAUCCCAGGGAACAGCUGGAUCCUGUGAGCUGUGCCUGUUCCCAGGAGCAUCCCAGGGAACAGCUGGAUCCUGUGAGCUGUGCCUGUUCCCAGGAGCAUCCCAGGGAACAGCUGGAUCCUGUGAGCUGUGCCUGUUCCCAGGAGCAUCCCAGGGAACAGCUGGAUCCUGUGAGCUGUGCCUGUUCCCAGGAGCAUCCCAGGGAACAGCUGGAUCCUGUGAGCUGUGCCUGUUCCCAGGAGCAUCCCAGGGAACAGCUGGAUCCUGUGAGCUGUGCCUGUUCCCAGGAGCAUCCCAGGGAACAGCUGGAUCCUGUGAGCUGUGCCUGUUCCCAGGAGCAUCCCAGGGAACAGCUGGAUCCUGUGAGCUGUGCCUGUUCCCAGGAGCAUCCCAGGGAACAGCUGGAUCCUGUGAGCUGUGCCUGUUCCCAGGAGCAUCCCAGGGAACAGCUGGAUCCUGUGAGCUGUGCCUGUUCCCAGGAGCAUCCCAGGGAACAGCUGGAUCCUGUGAGCUGUGCCUGUUCCCAGGAGCAUCCCAGGGAACAGCUGGAUCCUGUGAGCUGUGCCUGUUCCCAGGAGCAUCCCAGGGAACAGCUGGAUCCUGUGAGCUGUGCCCAUCCCUGGAAUGCCUCCAGGGAAAUGCAGGGAGCAGAGCUGGGUGUUUGCCCCUCUGCUCUGCCAGGAGCUCCUGUCAGACACCAGGAUGGUUCUGGGGAGUGGGAUCCAGCAGGAUCCAGGGAUCCCCAUUCCAGGAUCCCAUGGGUGGGUUUGUGUUCCAGGUGUGCCUGGGCUGUUGAUCAGGUGUUGGUGCUGGUGCUGCUCCUGUGCAGAGCUGAGAUUCCUCCCUGCUCUGCCCCCAGGGAAUGGUUCCUGCUCUCAGCCACUCCAGGGAUUUCCAGCCCUGGAAUUACUGCGUGGUGUUCACUGCCCUUCUCCGGUUUCUGA
rnacentral:lncRNA from 1 species